GGGAGAGAUUUGCGUAUUGAUCUUCAAAAGAGGCGUGCAUUUGCAUCUGAGGGAUAUGCGUGUAGAUGUUUGCUAGGUAGUGAUCUUGAAGGAGGAGCCAAGUUGGCAACAUAGGUAGUGAUCUUGCAGUUUGGUGGGUUUCCUCUAUAUAAUACGCAUGUAGAUGCUCGAUUGCAGUAUUAGGAAAAUUAUACUAGCGCCUGAAUGCCUCCUAUGGUUGUCAAGCUAAAUACUGACUUUUUACGUCAAUUGUGUUGUUUCUCACUUAAUUGCGUCUCUGAAAAAAAUAAGUCUCUGCGCUGUUCAAGGUUGCUGAAUCGAUGUGCUUACCAAUUUUUGCCAUCUCUCAUUUGUUUCGAAGCAAGCAAGUAAACAAGCAAUGCUAGUACAGGACUGCGGAAAAUACAAAACUGUUGCAUCUUGUAGAGAUCUGCUUAUCUUUAAUUUCUUAUGAUUUGAAGCAUAUACAUGUUAGCUUGUAUAAUACAAAGUUAACACAAUUCGAUACUAUCUUUGUAGGAUCGUAGUUUUAGUACUAUCUCUCACCUAUUUCAAAGCAAACAAAUAACUCACGGUCUUAUGAUAAUUAGUGCGAGUACACGGCUUAGGAAGAGGGAAUCUGAUCUGCGACCUAUACUUUCUUUUGUUUUGAAAUAUAUCCGUUUAGGCCCAUACGAUUUACAUAUAAUGCCUUUUUUGCUUCUGUUUUAAUAUACCAUGAUAGAAGAAUUUGUAAUGUUUACAAAUUCUGAAGGCCUUUCUAGUUUUGAAAUUCUGAAUAUUGUCAACUAACACUUUCCAUUCCGCAGGACUUGGAGGAGGAACACAUUGAGGACUUUGCUUUGUUAGAUCCAUCAUCGUCCACUAACUCCAUGGAAGAUCCUGUUGAAAGUUUAAACUGAACAAAGCUUUGCAUGCCGGGUGCUGAGAAGCAAGAGACCAAUGGCGGUACAAGAUGGUGCUGCUGCUGCCUCUGUGUUGGUUGACACACGCGGCCAGCUCGUCCAUCAACAUCGGCGCGAUGAGGAUGUCGAGAAUGGACAUGACACAAUUUUUGGUAGAUAGCUGUGUGAGUUGAGUGUAUCUCUGCCACUGCAACUUCCUAGCAGUUUAGUUAAUGCAGCGGAAAGAGCAGCAGGCAGCGGUGUCCUCAGCGGCGCGCCGGCCGGUACUUGAAAUGGUGUCCACCACUAUGACGACGGCCGGCUCGUAGAUCGCUCUUACCGCAUCUCUUCCUCAAUCCCGUUUCUCAACUCAAUUUUCCGACAACGCUGCAGCCGCUCGUUGCUGCCCCCCCCCCCCCAUCACCCCACC